rnacentral:rRNA from 1 species
UGGCUCAGAUUGAACGCUGGCGGCAUGCUUUACACAUGCAAGUCGAACGGUAACAGGCCGCAAGGUGCUGACGAGUGGCGAACGGGUGAGUAAUGCAUCGGAACGUGCCCAGUCGUGGGGGAUAACUACUCGAAAGAGUAGCUAAUACCGCAUACGAUCUGUGGAUGAAAGCGGGGGACCGCAAGGCCUCGCGCGAUUGGAGCGGCCGAUGUCAGAUUAGGUAGUUGGUGGGGUAAGGGCUCACCAAGCCGACGAUCUGUAGCUGGUCUGAGAGGACGACCAGCCACACUGGGACUGAGACACGGCCCAGACUCCUACGGGAGGCAGCAGUGGGGAAUUUUGGACAAUGGGCGCAAGCCUGAUCCAGCAAUGCCGCGUGCAGGGAAGAAGGGCCUUCGGGGUGUAAACUGCUUUUGUACGGGGACGAACGGGCUCUGGGUUAAUACCUGGGGGCUAAUGACGGGUACCGUAAGAAUAAGCACCGGGCUAACUACGUGCCAGCCGCCGCC